rnacentral:rRNA from 1 species
CCUACGGGCGGCAGCAGUGAGGAAUAUUGGUCAAUGGACGAGAGUCUGAACCAGCCAAGUAGCGUGAAGGAUGACUGCCCUAUGGGUUGUAAACUUCUUUUAUAUGGGAAUAAAAUGUUCCACGUGUGGGAUUUUGUAUGUACCAUAUGAAUAAGGAUCGGCUAACUCCGUGCCAGCAGCCGCGGUAAUACGGAGGAUCCGAGCGUUAUCCGGAUUUAUUGGGUUUAAAGGGAGCGUAGGUGGAUUGUAAAGUCAGUUGUGAAAGUUUGCGGCUCAACCGUAAAAUUGCAGUUGAAACUGGCAGUCUUGAGUACAGUAGAGGUGGGCGGAAGUCGUGGUGUAGCGGUGAAAUGCUUAGAUAUCACGAAGAACUCCGAUUGCGAAGGCAGUUCACUGGACUGCAACUGACACUGAGGCUCGAAAGUGUGGGUAUCAAACAGGAUUAGAUACCCGAGUAGUC